rnacentral:misc_RNA from 1 species
GAUGAAGAACGUAGCGAAAUGCGAUAAGUAAUGUGAAUUGCAGAAUUCAGUGAAUCAUCGAAUCUUUGAACGCACAUUGCGCCCGCCAGUAUUCUGGCGGGCAUGCCUGUUCGAGCGUCAUUACAACCCUCAGGCCCCCGGGCCUGGCGUUGGGGAUCGGCGGAAGCCCCCUGCGGGCACAACGCCGUCCCCCAAAUACAGUGGCGGUCCCGCCGCAGCUUCCAUUGCGUAGUAGCUAACACCUCGCAACUGGAGAGCGGCGCGGCCACGCCGUAAAACACCCAACUUCUGAAUGUUGACCUCGAAUCAGGUAGGAAUACCCGCUGAACUUAAGCAUAUCAAUAAACGGAGGA